rnacentral:rRNA from 1 species
AUUGAACGCUGGCGGCAGGCUUAACACAUGCAAGUCGAGCGAUGAAGCUCCUUCGGGAGUGGAUUAGCGGCGGACGGGUGAGUAACACGUGGGUAACCUGCCUCAUAGAGGGGAAUAGCCUUCCGAAAGGAAGAUUAAUACCGCAUAAGAUUGUAGUACCGCAUGGUACAGCAAUUAAAGGAGUAAUCCGCUAUGAGAUGGACCCGCGUCGCAUUAGCUAGUUGGUGAGGUAACGGCUCACCAAGGCGACGAUGCGUAGCCGACCUGAGAGGGUGAUCGGCCACAUUGGGACUGAGACACGGCCCAGACUCCUACGGGAGGCAGCAGUGGGGAAUAUUGCACAAUGGGGGAAACCCUGAUGCAGCAACGCCGCGUGAGUGAUGACGGUCCUCGGAUUGUAAAACUCUGUCUUCAGGGACGAUAAUGACGGUACCUGAGGAAGAAGCCACGGCUAACUACGUGCCAGCAGCCGCCGUAA